rnacentral:tRNA from 1 species
GGCUUUUUAUUUUAACAGUAUGAAUUUUAAUAAUAAAAAAACAGAUUGAGAACAAUUUAAGAAAUGUGAGAACAAGUAUUAUGCAUGACUCAUAAUCGAUUGGUCACUGGUUCAAGUCCAGUAGGGGCCACCA